GACGAACGCUGGCGGCGUGCUUAACACAUGCAAGUCGAACGGAGAAUUUUAUUUCGGUGAAAUUCUUAGUGGCGAACGGGUGAGUAACGCGUAGACAACCUACCUCUCAGAUGGGGACAACAUCGCGAAAGCGGUGCUAAUACCGAAUGAUGUAACUUUUCUGCAUGGAAGAGUUACCAAAGGCGGCCUCUAUUUAUAAGCUGUCACUGAGAGAUGGGUCUGCGUCUGAUUAGCUAGUUGGCGGGGUAAUGGCCCACCAAGGCGACGAUCAGUAGCCGGUCUGAGAGGAUGAACGGCCACAUUGGGACUGAGACACGGACCAAACUCCUACGGGAGGCAGCAGUGGGGAAUCUUCCGCAAUGGACGAAAGUCUGACGGAGCAACGCCGCGUGAGUGAAGAAGGUUUUCGGAUCGUAAAGCUCUGUUGUUUGAGACGAAUGUGCAAUUUUUGAAUAAGGAAUUGUAAUGACGGUAUUGAACGAGAAAAGCCACGGCUAACUACGUGCCAGCAGCCGCCGUAA
rnacentral:rRNA from 1 species